rnacentral:rRNA from 1 species
UUUCGUGUGAACAGCAGUUGAACACGAGUCAGUCGGUCCUAAGGAAUAGGGGAAACCCGUUCUGAAUCGGAGACUGUAUAAAAGUGAGUAGAAAAACUCCGAAUUGACCGAAAGGGAAUCGGGUUAAUAUUCCCGAACCCGGACGUGGAGAUCGACCCUUCGGGGUCCAAUGCGGCAACGCAAACAAACUCGGAGACGUCGGCGGGAGUCCCGGGAAGAGUUGUCUUUUCUUUGUAAGGAACGGACUCCCUGGAAUCGGCUCGCCCGGAGAGAGGGACGUUGUUUCCGUAAAGCACCGCGGCUCUUGCGGUGUCCGGAGCACUCCCGCCGGCCCUUGAAAAUCCGAGGGAGAGAAUUCGUUGAUUUUCGCGCCGGACCGUACCCAUAUCCGCAGCAGGUCUCCAAGGUGAACAGCCUCUAGUCGAUAGAACA